UUCUGGUUGGAGAUUCCUGAUGACCUGGGGUCUUCCAAAGUCAUCUUGGAAGAUAAUGAUGCUUACAUACUGCUAGAUCAGCCAGGAAGCCUUUCUGCAGCUCUACUCCUUCCCUCUUCCCCUCUGUAAAGGAGAACCUUCAUGUGAAUGGAAUCCAUGCUGCUCCAUCCAGAGUCAGUUGGAUGUUUCUGUAACAGGCUGUGACAGAAUCACCUUUUAUCUUUGUGUGAUACAGUGGGGUAGGGCUGUGAUGUUGAAUCUGGAAAAGGCCAAGCGUGUCAUUCAUUAGCUAGCAAAAUGUCAAGUGGGUAGAAGAGCAAUCGAUGGUACAAGGAGAAGGCACACAACAGUGAGAUGCACAGAGAUUUCAGCUGCAGUUGGCUUCCAGCUGGGCUGCUUUUUUGUCUGUGCAGGAACUGGUGGCAAGAGCUCCACUCCUCCCACGAUAGGACCAAACCAAAUGUCCCUGCAUCCAUGAGCUUCUGCAGUACUGGAUGGGAAGUACAGUGAAUGACUUGUCUGCCACCAUUAAAGACUGGUUCCUGACAUGAUGUGAGGUAAAAGGACUUUGAAGUAGGCCUUCU